rnacentral:lncRNA from 1 species
GUAACGGUGCUUUGGGGUUUUGUUGGGAGAAGACUUCCAUGUGACAUGCAUUCCACUGAGGGGGUAAAAUGCUAAAAUUAUACCUUCUAGGAGGCAUUGAUCAUUUUUCUCAGACUGUAUUGUCCUGAUCUCAGAUGAUGGGAUGAAACCAAAAAAAUUGGCAAGAUGUUGGCUUUAACUUAGCUUUCCCUAUGUAACAUAACUUUAGAUCUAGUAAUGGAUACUCAAGACCAUCUAGCCCAACAUUUUCAGAUGAAGACAUUGAGGGCCAGAGACUGGAUGGACUUGGCCAAGGUCACACAGUGAAGCAAUGACAGGAUAACAAAAAGAAAAUUUAUGUUAGGGGCCAGAAAAUACUUCCUUAAUCUUGAUGCAUCCUUCUAUCAUCAUAGGGACUCGCUUUAAAGAACUGGAGACAUCAGCUCAGCAAAUAAAACUAGAAUAAGGCAAGGAUGCUGCUUUGACAGAAAUGCUAGUUAGUGCCACUUAAGAGAGGCUACAAGGCAGUGGGGUAAGUACAAAGUUAGGAGAUGUGUGUCUGAAUUUCUUGCUUCUUUAGUCAACGGGUGGUGUAUAGACCAGCAGCAGCAGCAGCAGCAUCUGGGAACUUGUAAGAAAUGCUGUCUCAGAUCUCAUCCCAGACUUAUGAAAUCAGUUAACAAGAUGCCCAGGUCAUUCUUAUGCACAUUAAAGUCUGAGA